GUGAGGGUUGUCCUCCAAGGAGCCAUCCAGCUUAUCUUCCGCCGUCCAGAUGGGCCGCGUCUGCUGCUCUCGAAUGAUAGCCUUGAACUCCUGGUACCAGGUGUCACUCGUGCCAUUCAGAGGGAUGGUGGCUGUGAAGAGGUGGCUGCUCUGCUUCCGCAGCUUCUGGGCUUGUGCGUAGAGGCGGCGGGUACUGCGGCAGGAGGCAGGCGCCAGCCAACUUAGCUCCUUCUAAAUUGUCCUCAUACAUCCAGUGAUUUUCAGAUCAUUUUCAUUCAAAGACUGAUUGAGAAAAUCUCAGAAGAUUAAAGAGAAUAAAGGAUCUGACUUG
ensembl:lncRNA novel transcript